UUCAACUCCUUCUUCACUUAAAAAUGUUUUGCCUUGUGCCCACUAACAUUGACCUUCUCUUCCUUCUCCUAUGGCCGAUUAACACUUUUCAUUGAAGGUUGUUGUCAAUAUCAGCCGACAAAGGUGUAAUACCCAAUUUGGAUGCUUGGGCUUAUGAUGAGCUUGAUCAAAAUUAUGAACCUUGUAUUCCAGUUGAAGCAGCAGAAGAAUCGCUCAUGUACUUCUUUUUCAUCUCCUAGCUGGAUGCAUGCUAAAAACGCAGAUCUGGUUCACUCUCCUGUUUUGCUAGUGCAGGUAUGAUAUAGGUUUCAAUGGUAACAGUUUGUGCUGAGCUUUUGGUCGACAUAAAGACACGGCGUAAGUUGGACUUGGUUGUGCUACUGGUAUACCUCUCUCCGGCGGAGGCUAACCAGUGGCCGUGGCGGCCAUAUUUACCGAUCAGUAGGCAAGAUUAGGCUUUGGCGGUGGCUACUUAUACACAAGAAGAUGAUUAGGCAAUAGUUUACGUAGUAGGUAUUUCAUUGGAAUGUUGUAGCAUAAUUUUUGCAUCAAUGGUAUUAUACCUAAGUUUGUAUAAUUGAUAAUGCUAGUAGUCUAGUACUAGGUCGUUUGGCCAUGUGAGAGAUUAAAAAUAAUAGUGAUGGGAUAAAAAAAAGUUAUCUUGUUUGGUUGCCAUGUUUGGGAUAACUUAUCUCAUCAUUUAUAUCAUAGUGAUGGGGUAAGUUAUCCCGUAUACAUGGUGGGAUAAGUUAUCUCAGGAUAGCU